rnacentral:rRNA from 1 species
GAUGAACGCUGGCGGCGUGCUUAACACAUGCAAGUCGAACGGAAAGACCCUGCGUUUGUGCGGUUCUCGAUUGGCGAACGGGUGAGUAACACGUGUGUAUCCUGCCCUUGACUUUGGGAGAACUUCAGGAAACUGGGGCUAAUACAGGAUAGGAUCUCCUGCAGCAUGGUGGGGAUUGGAAAGUGUCGGCUGUUGGGGAUGGACUGGCGGCUUAUCAGCUUGUUGGUGGGGUAGUUGAUUACCAAGGCUAUGACGGAUAGCCGGCCUGGGAGGGUGAACAGCGACCAGGGGCCUGAGAGAGGGAGCAGUCGGGAACGGGCGGCAAUGGUGGAGAACAUGGCACAGCGGGCGGGAGUGUGUGGUAGAGGCCCUCGGUUCGUAAAGACCUCUUUCUGGUUGUGAACCGCUGUCGCCUGAGACGAAGCGUUAUUGACGGUAACUAGUAAAGAAGCACCGGCUAACUACGUG